GUACACGCUGUGACUAGCAUAUCAAUAAGCGGAGGAAAAGAAACUAACAAGGAUUCCCCUAGUAACGGCGAGUGAAGCGGGAAGAGCUCAAAUUUGAAAUCUUAAAGGGUUUCCCUUUACGAAUUGUAGUUUAAAGAAGUGUUUUCUGUUGAGGUUUUGGUAAAAGUUCUUUGGAAUAGGACAUCAUAGAGGGUGAGAAUCCCGUAUUUGACCUUUACUUUCAACUUUGUGAUACACUUUCAAAGAGUCGGAUUGUUUGGGAAUGCAGUCCAAAAUGGGUGGUAAAUUUCAUCUAAAGCUAAAUAUUGGCGAGAGACCGAUAGCGAACAAGUACCGUGAGGGAAAGAUGAAAAGAACUUUGAAAAGAGAGUUAAACAGUACGUGAAAUUGUCAAGAGGGAAGCGUUUGACACCAGUGUUGUUUUUCUGAAAAUCAAUUAAAGAACUGUUUAUGCUAAGCUGUUUAGACUUUAUCAGCUAACUGUUUAGUUUUGAGCUUUUCUUUAAUGCACUUUUCAGUUAACAAGUCAACAUCAAUUUCUUUUGCUGUAAAAAAGCUUGAGGAAGGUGGCUUGAGAUUCGUCUUAAGUGUUUAUAGCCUCUUGCCUAUGCAGUCCGGAGAGAUUGAGGUCUGCAGCGUAGAUCCUUCGGGGCUAAAUGCAUUUGUGCUAAGUUAUAGCAUUUUAUAGACAACUUGUUGACUAUGAUUUGUCUUGUAGCUUACUCGCUUAUGUUAUUUUACCUACGCUUAGGAUGUUGAUAUGCAUGACUGAUAU
rnacentral:rRNA from 1 species